rnacentral:rRNA from 1 species
GCAAGUCGAGCGGAUGAAGGGAGCUUGCUCCUGGAUUCAGCGGCGGACGGGUGAGUAAUGCCUAGGAAUCUGCCUGGUAGUGGGGGAUAACGUCCGGAAACGGGCGCUAAUACCGCAUACGUCCUGAGGGAGAAAGUGGGGGAUCUUCGGACCUCACGCUAUCAGAUGAGCCUAGGUCGGAUUAGCUAGUUGGUGGGGUAAAGGCCUACCAAGGCGACGAUCCGUAACUGGUCUGAGAGGAUGAUCAGUCACACUGGAACUGAGACACGGUCCAGACUCCUACGGGAGGCAGCAGUGGGGAAUAUUGGACAAUGGGCGAAAGCCUGAUCCAGCCAUGCCGCGUGUGUGAAGAAGGUCUUCGGAUUGUAAAGCACUUUAAGUUGGGAGGAAGGGCRGUAAGUUAAUACCUUGCUGUUUUGACGUUACCAACAGAAUAAGCACCGGCUAACUUCGUGCCAGCAGCCGCGGUAAUACGAAGGGUGCAAGCGUUAAUCGGAAUUACUGGGCGUAAAGCGCGCGUAGGUGGUUCAGCAAGUUGGAUGUGAAAUCCCCGGGCUCAACCUGGGAACUGCAUCCAAAACUACUGAGCUAGAGUACGGUAGAGGGUGGUGGAAUUUCCUGUGUAGCGGUGAAAUGCGUAGAUAUAGGAAGGAACACCAGUGGCGAAGGCGACCACCUGGACUGAUACUGACACUGAGGUGCGAAAGCGUGGGGGAGCAAACAGGAUUAGAUACCCUGGUAGUCCACGCCGUAAACGAUG